UAAAAGUCGUAACAAGGUUUCCGUAGGUGAACCUGCGGAAGGAUCAUUACCGAAUCGUCAAACACGGGUUGUUGCUGGCCUCCCGAACGGGGCACGUGCACGCUCUGUUUACGCAUCCACUCACACCUGUGCACCCUCUGUAGUCCUAUGGUUCGGAAGACCCCGUCUUCCUUCUGUAGCUCUACGUCUUUACACACACGCCGUAGCGAUGUCUCAUGGAAUGUUUUUAUGCGUUUAACGCGAUACAAUACAACUUUCAGCAACGGAUCUCUUGGCUCUCGCAUCGAUGAAGAACGCAGCGAAAUGCGAUAAGUAAUGUGAAUUGCAGAAUUCAGUGAAUCAUCGAAUCUUUGAACGCACCUUGCGCCCCUUGGUUAUUCCUUGGAGCAUGCCUGUUUGAGUAUCAUGAACACCUCAACUCUCACGGUCUUCCGUGAUGAGCUUGGACUUUGGGGGUUUGCUGGCCCUGCGGCCGGCUCCUCUCAAAUGAAUCAGCUUGCCAGUGUUUGGUGGCAUCACGGGUGUGAUAACUAUCUACGCUCGCGGUCGUCCGCCAGGUAACCCUCAGCAACGAAGAUUCAUGGAGCUCUCAAUAAGCUCUCCUAGCAUGUCAAC
rnacentral:rRNA from 1 species